CCUACGGGUGGCAGCAGUGAGGAAUAUUGGUCAAUGGACGAGAGUCUGAACCAGCCAAGUAGCGUGAAGGAUGACUGCCCUAUGGGUUGUAAACUUCUUUUAUAUGGGAAUAAAAUGUUCCACGUGUGGGAUUUUGUAUGUACCAUAUGAAUAAGGAUCGGCUAACUCCGUGCCAGCAGCCGCGGUAAUACGGAGGAUCCGAGCGUUAUCCGGAUUUAUUGGGUUUAAAGGGAGCGUAGGUGGAUUGUUAAGUCAGUUGUGAAAGUUUUCGGCUCAACCGUAAAAUUGCAGUUGAAACUGGCAGUCUUGAGUACAGUAGAGGUGGGCGGAAUUCGUGGUGUAGCGGUGAAAUGCUUAGAUAUCACGAAGAACUCCGAUUGCGAAGGCAGUUCACUGGACUGCAACUGACACUGAGGCUCGAAAGUGUGGGUAUCAAACAGGAUUAGAUACCCGUGUAGUC
rnacentral:rRNA from 1 species